ensembl:miRNA
GAGGUGGGAGGAUUGCUUGAGCCCAGGAGUUUGAGGUUGCAGUGAGCUAUGAUGAGGCCACUGCACUCCAGCCUGAGUGACAGAGCAAGACCCUGUCUC